rnacentral:rRNA from 1 species
UACGUAGGGUGCGAGCGUUGUCCGGAAUUAUUGGGCGUAAAGGGCUCGUAGGCGGUUUGUCGCGUCGGGAGUGAAAACCUUGGGCUUAACCCAGGGCUUGCUUUCGAUACGGGCAGACUAGAGGUAUGCAGGGGAGAACGGAAUUCCUGGUGUAGCGGUGAAAUGCGCAGAUAUCAGGAGGAACACCGGUGGCGAAGGCGGAUCUCUGGGCCGAUACUGACGCUGAGGAGCGAAAGCGUGGGGAGCGAACAGG